rnacentral:pre_miRNA from 1 species
UCUUAUGGAUGAACAAAGAAAGUGUUUUCUUGAGAUGGAAACUACUCCUAGUGAAAACACUGUGAA